rnacentral:rRNA from 1 species
GACGAACGCUGGCGGCGUGCUUAACACAUGCAAGUCGAACGGUAAGGCCCUUCGGGGUACACGAGUGGCGAACGGGUGAGUAACACGUGGGUGAUCUGCCCUGCACUUCGGGAUAAGCCUGGGAAACUGGGUCUAAUACCGGAUAGGACUCCGGACUGCAUGGUCUGGGGUGGAAAGCUUUUGCGGUUUGGGAUGGGCCCGCGGCCUAUCAGCUUGUUGGGGGGGUGAUGGCCUACCAAGGCGACGACGGGUAGCCGGCCUGAGGGGGUGACCGGCCGCACUGGGACUGAGAUACGGCCGAGACUCCUACGGGGGGCGGCAGUGGGGAAGAUUGCACAGUGGGCGCAAGCCUGAUGCAGCGACGCCGCGUGCGGGAUGACGGCCUUCGGGUUGUAAUCCUCUUUCAGCAUCGACGAAGCGAAAGUGACGGUAGGUGCAGAAGAAGGACCGGCCAACUACGUGCCAGCCGCCGCCGUAA